AGGUCUUUUAUUUUCUAUGGUGGAUGAACGUCGGAUUUGUAAAUGCUUAUUUAAUGUAUGUCCUUAAAAUGACGAUGUUCCUGUAACCCUGAUACCAUUGCUUAUCCCAUUGGUGGAAUAUUGGAAGCAUGGGCAGAAAGGUAUACAAUUUAGCAUCUUCUAAAACUAUAUUUUGGGAGUAGGAUGUCUCAAGCAUUUGUGGUUUUGUG
rnacentral:misc_RNA from 1 species